UAUUCACAUGUUCAUGUUUCCUACCCACAUGAAGAAAGCUAGAUGCUUUUCUCUUUUUCCUUGGAUAUAUUUUUCUGCUCCAAUAGAUCAUCAUCACUUCCAUACUUCUGCACCUUCAUGCCUUGCUUUCAUUUCAUCAUUACUCCAUCUUUUCCAUAUUUUACAAACCACUUUCAUUAUUUUUCUUCCAUUUAUCAUUUCACUCUUCUUUUUCUUCCCUAUAUAAACACCUUCUCCUCUCACUCUAAACAUAUUCCUUCAUCCAUUCCAUCUUCUUUGUCUCUCCAUUUCCUUUCCAUUUUCCUUUCCAUCCUCUAGUUUCAAGUUUAGUCAUCUCCACGAGUUCAAGCAAGGCCAAAGAAGAAGAAGAGAAGCCGUGAGCACUUCCAUCCAUAGCCAUCCUUGAAGCUUGCUUUCGAGUUUCAAGAAUCCACAACAUGAAUCAUCCAUCUCAUCUUCAUCCACGGUGUGUACCCUCAAUCCCCGGAAUAGAACGAUCCCUAUUUGCUUAUACUACUAACGAUGUUUUCAGGGUUAAAUUAUGCGCUUGCUUUGAGCGUAUCACACCAGCUGUCACCACAAUGGACCUCAUUGUUAAACCAGCAAAACUCACUCCAAUGGCCAAAAAUCUGACCCAAACUAGGGGUCAUCAUUUGGUCCUUGGGCACUAAGCCCAUUUCAAGCGUGCUCGGCCCGACCCUUGCAUUUGGGCGGGUCGGCCCAGCCUUUUCUCAAAUAUGGUAAGGUAUAGGCCAUGCAAAUAAAGGUCGGCUUACCCCUUAACUGCCAUGCAAAUAAAGUCCGGCCUGGUCUAUUUGAGCUUUUAAGGGCCAAGCCUGCCCAAUCAAGCCCUAAUAAUUUUCUAUUUUUUCUAUUUUCUAAAUAUGUUGAUCUUUUUCUUUUUUUCCACAUACAAUUUAUCCCUAUCUUUUUUGAAGGGCAAUUUAUCCCUAUCUUAUUUUGUAAUUGAUUUAAUAAGCUUUAUUUUUUCUUUUUACUUGUUA